AUGUAACGCCAUGGGGUAGGAAGCUCGGAAAGUUCUCCUAGCAUGGAAUCUUGCUGGAACUUGUGUGAAAGUUUCCUUCCUGGUGCUAAUCUUCAUAUACCCAGAAAGUGCCAUGCAAGCUUCUAGAGAAUUGUCAGUGAAAGUGUUGCCCAGCUGUGGACACUAAAUGCAAGAAAACUGACCAACUGGACACGGUGAGCCAACAGGUGCAGCAGAGGCAAGUUUGUGGGAAGGUAACUAACCACUCUCUGGUUGGGUUUAGUGCAUUCUGUGGGAGGGAAUUCACAUCUGGAACUGUAAAGCAAGCUGCAAAUCCAAGGCCAAGGAGGGCAUAGGCCCUGGUGAAGAAGCCAUUGCUGUUGUUUUCCUAAAUGAACAAGAUGUGCCCAUCGGCCUGCCUUCAAAGUGACCGUUUGUGUCCAGAGAGUAGUGCUGUGGUCACGUUUCGCCAGAGGAACUCCUUUCUGCAGAAGUCAGCAGUGACUACAGAGACUCACGGCUGACCAAAGAACUGAGAACAGAUAACUGUGGAGCACCCAGCCGUCAGAGGGACCUCUGUAAACAAGACUCAGGAAACAUCUUGGAAGAAGGGGACAAAAAGAAGGUGCUGGAAAACAAAGUCCAGAGCAGACCUGAUUGGAUCCCUCCAGAUCCCAUCUAUGAUGCCUGAUCCUGGUUGUCAAGGUGACACUCCUGGCAAGAGGGAACCUCAACUGAGGAAUGGCCACCAUCAGAUUAGCCUGUGGGCAUGCCUGAGGGGUAUCUUCUUGAUUGCUAAUUGAUGUGAGGGGGCUGGCCCACCAUGGGUAGUGCCAUCCCUGGGCAGGUAGGACUGAGCCAUAUACUAUAGGUAGCAGAGCAAGCUAGGAGCGGCAAGCCACUCAGUGUUCGGCAGUGGUCUCUGAUUCAGUUCCUGCCCCCCCACCCACGCCCCACCCCCCCACCCCACCCCGCCCCCCAAGUUCCUGUCUGGAGUUCCUACUUUCAAUUCACUUGAUGACAGACUGUAACCUGUGAGCCCAAUAAACCCUUUCCUCCACAAA